UGUGAAAACGCCCUUUAACCCCUAAAUGGGAAAAGGAGCUGGUAUCAGGCACAACCAAAUGCCCAAGACACCUAGCUACGCCACACCCACAAGGGAAAUCAGCAGUGAUCAACAUUGAACAUAAGCGACAGCUUGAUUCAGUUAAAGUAAGAAGAGCCGGCAAAUCUGGUGCCAGCCGCCGCGGUUACACCACGUGGCUCAAAUUGAUUUUUAUCGGCGUAAAGCGUGAUUAAAGAAACCUAAAAUUAGGGUUAAACUAAAACUAAGCUGUGGCACGCUUGUUACUCAUGAAACCCAAAAACGAAAGUUACCCUAAUUUACUCAACUUGAAUUCACGACAGCUGGAAAACAAACUGGGAUUAGAUACCCCACUAUGCCCAGCCGUAAACUUUUAAUUACUUCCGAAUCGCCUGGGAACUACGAGCAAAGCUUAAAACCCAAAGGACUUGACGGUACCCCACAUCCACCUAGAGGAGCCUGUCCUAUAAUCGAUAAUCCCCGUUUAACCUCACCAUUUUUAGCUUAUCAGUCUGUAUACCUCCGUCCUCAGCUUACCUCGUGAGCGAAAUCUAGUAAGCCUAAUGCCCACACGCCAAUACGUCAGGUCAAGGUGCAGC
rnacentral:rRNA from 1 species